rnacentral:rRNA from 1 species
UGUUGCCUACGGGGGGCAGCAGUGGGGAAUAUUGCACAAUGGGGGGAACCCUGAUGCAGCGACGCCGCGUGAGUGAAGAAGUAUUUCGGUAUGUAAAGCUCUAUCAGCAGGGAAGAAAAUGACGGUACCUGACUAAGAAGCCCCGGCUAACUACGUGCCAGCAGCCGCGGUAAUACGUAGGGGGCAAGCGUUAUCCGGAUUUACUGGGUUUAAAGGGUGCGUAGGCGGAUUGAUAAGUUAGAGGUGAAAUGUCCGGGCUCAACUCGGGAACUGCCUCUAAUACUGUUGAUCUAGAGAGUAGAUGG